rnacentral:rRNA from 1 species
GAUGAACGCUGGCGGCGUGCCUAAUACAUGCCAGUCGAGCGAACGGACGAGAAGCUUGCUUCUCUGAUGUUAGCGGCGGACGGGUGAGUAACACGUGGAUAACCUACCUAUAAGACUGGGAUAACUUCGGGAAACCGGAGCUAAUACCGGAUAAUAUUUUGAACCGCAUGGUUCAAAAGUGAAAGACGGUCUUGCUGUCACCUAUAGAUGGAUCCGCGCUGCAUUAGCUAGUUGGUAAGGUAACGGCUUACCAAGGCAACGAUGCAUAGCCGACCUGAGAGGGUGAUCGGCCACACUGGAACUGAGACACGGUCCAGACUCCUACGGGAGGCAGCAGUAGGGAAUCUUCCGCAAUGGGCGAAAGCCUGACGGAGCAACGCCGCGUGAGUGAUGAAGGUCUUCGGAUCGUAAAACUCUGUUAUUAGGGAAGAACAUAUGUGUAAGUAACUGUGCACAUCUUGACGGUACCUAAUCAGAAAGCCACGGCUAACUACGUG